rnacentral:rRNA from 1 species
UACGUAGGGUGCGAGCGUUGUCCGGAAUUAUUGGGCGUAAAGAGCUCGUAGGCGGUUUGUCGCGUCGGCCGUGAAAACUUGGGGCUUAACUCCAAGCUUGCGGUCGAUACGGGCAGACUUGAGUUCGGCAGGGGAGACUGGAAUUCCUGGUGUAGCGGUGAAAUGCGCAGAUAUCAGGAGGAACACCAAUGGCGAAGGCAGCUCGCUGGGACGGUACUGACGCUGAGACGCGAAAGCGUGGGGAGCGAACAGG